CUGUUCACAAUCACACCUCCUCCUAUAUAAGCACAGUUCAGUCACUCACUCCCCCCUGGACCAUUGACUGUCACAUCCCUGCUUUCCUCCAGUCUCGGAUCCCCUCAUGGACUCAGUUUUUCUGCUGAUCCUAGCUUUACUCCAGUCUUUCAUAACCCCACCUGGACUCUAGUCUUCCCUCAUCCUGGAUACCUACCAGUCCCCUCCCUGUCCUCAAUCUGCUGCCUAUCUGUCUUGUUUCCCCAUCAGCUCCUGGAUUCCUCAUGUCUGCCUACCUUGCCCCUUUAAUUUUGUUCCCUGCUGAGCAUUAAACCCACGAGGAGGCCAGUGAACCCAGUAACACCACUAGAUGGCAACCUGCAUCCAGGAGAAGGCCAAGAAACUCUGCUCCAAGAAACAUCCUGCUUGUGUGCUGGGAUCAUGGACUGAACAGUACAUUUCAGGUUAUGCAAUAUUAAGAUAAUCCAAAUUUGAAGCUUAUAGUUACUGAGUGUAAAGUGACUACAAAGAUUCUUGAAGACUUUUAGGUGAUACAGUUGCAUGAAAAACAGUCCACAUACAUUUAGUGUACAGCUUAACUUCUUUGUGGGAUGGAAGAAAUGCACACUGUAGAAGCCAUAAGAAGUUGUGAAAUUAAAGACACUUUAUGGGGGGAUUUUUUUUUUAAAUGACAUUUUCAGACUGCAGUGAUGAGAGAGUGAAGAAAAAAAUACCCACACAUUUUUACUAAGAUUGUUUGAAAGUCACCACAGUAACUCAGAUAUUCCACACAGAACGGCAUUAAGAAUUUAACUUACUAAUGGUUGUGCUGUGUGGUUAUAUGUAAAUGAAAAUAUUUUCACCAGCAAGCAUUUGAUUCUGGAUCUCAGAGAAACAGGUACUAAAUUGCAAGAUCCUGAACUCACUUUGUUCAACACGAAUGUGGAACACUUAUAUUCAGUAUUUUUUUUUUUUUUUUAAAGAUUAAAUACGUGCAUUGUCUGCACCAGGCAGAGUUUGUUGUAUGCAGUAAGUAUGUUCUUCCAACAUCUUGCAAUUUCCAGUUUGCCUGGGUUUCCUUUGGAUGUUCCACUUUUCUCUCAGUCUGUGUAGUAAAGUGAGAUCAGUCACACAGUGUGUUUCUGCCUUCUGCUGCAGUGACUGCUGGGUGACCUCAUGUUUUUUUUUUUUUCAUUUUAGCAAAGUUUGACAUUGACAUUACAUUGACAUUAGUCUGGUAAAAAUACAGUCUAUGGGUAAAACUACAGUAAAUCUUGAGGUACAAUAUACAACAACAGCAAAUACAACUAUGUGCAAUAUUAUUUGCAAUGUCAAAUUAUUAAAAACUGCAUCAUUUCUAUAUUGACAAGCAGAGAAUUCACUCUUGGGAACAAUCAAAAACAAAGACUUCAGACUACAAAGAGUAUAUUGAAAAUACAGGCCCCAGAGCAGAAACUCACUGCAAUAAAAGUGAAUACACCUGUGAUCACCGAAAUAAAACUGGGUACCGCCUGUCAUUUUCAAUCAGCCAAACUGCAUGAACAAAAUUGGAAAAUGUGCUGGAAAAAGUACGACUUUCUCAGUUUUGGACCUAUGGACUGUGUUAAUCUGCAUCAUCAUGGCUCCAUGUGGAAAAAAAAAAAUUGCUUGAGGAACUGAAAAACCUGUACUACUGGAAGAUCAGUGACUAACUAGGAAUCAGCAUAAGCACAGUAGCAGCAGUAAUCAGAAGGUAUAGAAUCAGUCAUAGUAUUACUAAUCAGAGGUGCAGUAGCCAUCCUCCUAACAUGAUGGCACAGACAGUGCACUACUUGCACAACAUAUCUCUGAAAAACAGUGCUUUAGAUAUAACAGAUGGGUUAUCAGUAGAAAAAGCCUGAUGAAUAUCUGGAGCACAUUGUUUGGUCAGAUAAGACCAAGAUAGAUUUUUUUGACUCAGAUGUUUGGUAUGAACCUGGUCAGGACUACCACAGUAAUGCAUAGUCCUGACAGUGAAGCACAGAGGAGGGAGUGUGAGGAUGUGAGGCUGCAUGAGAGUAAAACGUGUUGGAGAAGACAUUUAUAGCCUCACACUUUUAUUCAUGUACUAACAUAAUUGCACAAGGGUUUUCUAAUCAUCAAUGAGCCUUUCAACACCAUUAGCUAACACAAUGUAGCAUUAGAACACAGGAGUGAUGGUUGCUGGAAAUGUUCCUCUGUACCUCUAUGGAGAUAUUCCAUUAAAGAUAAGCUGCUUCCA